rnacentral:SRP_RNA from 1 species
CCGUACAGCCGGGGCGGUAGCGGUGCCUUGUACCUACAAUCCGCUAUAGUAGGGGUGAUAUUCCGCAGAGGGCGUUUCCUUGUGAAGCUGCCCCUGAUAAGUGAUGUUGACGUUUGGGUCUUACGCGACGGGAAACUGUGAACCGUGUCAGGGCAGGAAUGUAGCAGCACUAAGCAGACCUUUCCGGGUGCCGUGAGGGCGCUCGAGCCGAGUUAACUGUCAGGGUAACGUUCAUGAGGAGCGUUCGAAGCGGAAUGUACGG